AUGUUUGUGUGUGAACGUAUAUGGAGCCAGGCAAUUAAAUGUCCUGCCCCCGGUUAUGGUUUUCUAAAGCCAACCCCUUUGUGCACACAGCCACACCACUGUCUCUUGCAUGCACACUCCCUUUUCUGUCACAUUCACACACACAGUCAUCCCUCCUCACACUCUGCCCUUCUGCUCUCCCGCAUCUCUCUUUCACCUCUUCUCUGUCUGUCACACACACACACCAUCCCUGUCUCUAUCGCUCACCCCGCCCGCCUUAGGACACACUCUCUCAUACACACACUCCUCUCCUCAGCCUCCCCCAGCCUUUCUCUCUCCUCAUACUCCAUUGUCUCUCUCACACACUCACUCAUACACACAGUUCUCUCCCAGCCUCCCUCUCACACAGACUCAAACACCCCCCACCCUUCUCACACACCUCCUUUGUCUCUCUCACACACCUCCACCCCCUCACCCACCCUUUGUCUCACACACACUCUCACACCCCCUCUCUCUGUCUCUUGCACACUCACAUCUUUCUUGUCUCCCUCACCCCCCCAAACACUCACCAUUGUCUCUCUCACACAUACACCUUGCUCUGUGUUUCACACACUGUUGUCAUCGUCUCUUCCUCACACCCUUUGUGUCACACUCACAGACCUCUCCCUGUCUCACACAGAUCAUACCUCCGUGUCUCACCCAUGCACACCAUCCAUUGUCUCUGGCCUCUGCCCUUCCUGUCUCACACUCCUACCCCUUCCGACUCACACCUAUCCAUGCCUUACACACUCACCAUCUCCCUGUCUCACACCCCCUCUCCCUGUCUCACACACUCACCCCCUCCCUGUCUCACACCCCCUCUGUCUGUCUCACACACACGACACCUCCGUGUCUCACCCAUGCACACCAUCCAUUGUCUCUGGCUCACGCCCUCCCUGUCUCACACUCAGAGCCCCUCACCCUCACCUCUCCCUGGCUCACACUCACACCCCUCUCUCUGCCACACUCACACGCGGUUGCGAUUGCGCUUGCGCCCCGGCUCCUCCUCCCGGCUCGUUGCAAGCGGGGCCGGGGCCGCCAGUAGCGGCAGAGCCGGUAGCGAACCUGAGCGGGGAGCUGAGCGGAACUGAGGCGGAUCCGGAGAGAUGGGGGCCCGGGUUCCCCAGCGCUCCUAGGGGGGGUAGGUCCCCCCGAUUCCCCACGGCGGCGCCCCGAGCUCAUGGGCGGCCGCACGGGUUGAGACUCCCCGCCGGACGGGCUCGGAGGGACCCAGGCGUCCUGGCACCAUGGCGUUCACCUUCGCCGCCUUCUGCUACAUGCUCACCCUGGUGCUGUGCGCCUCGCUCAUCUUCUUCGUCAUCUGGCAUGUGA
rnacentral:lncRNA from 1 species